CUGUCCAUUGAUAUUGUCCCUCCUGCCACUAUCUGGGCUUCUGGGUCACAGAGUCUGGCCCUGGCUGUCAGCAACACUAUUUCUUGUCUCUCCUCCAUCCCUCCAGGACCCUGACCCGGGCAGGYAUCCAUUUCCUCCCCAGAAGGAUGUGCCAGCAGCUGCCCAGCCUUCGAGUGCUAGAGCUGUCACACAACCAAAUCGAAGAGCUGCCCAGUUUCCACCAAUGCCAGCAGCUGGAGGAGCUYGGUCUCCAGCACAACAAGAUCCACGAGAUCCGAGCAGACACCUUUGUGCAGCUGCUGGCCCUGCGC